GACGAACGCUUGCGGCGUGCUUAACACAUGCAAGUCGAACGGAAAGGCCCUUCGGGGUACUCGAGUGGCGAACGGGUGAGUAACACGUGGGUGAUCUGCCCUGCACUUUGGGAUAAGCCUGGGAAACUGGGUCUAAUACCGAAUAUGAUCAUCGGCUUCAUGGUCGGUGGUGGAAAGCUUUUGCGGUGUGGGAUGGGCCCGCGGCCUAUCAGCUUGUUGGUGGGGUAAUGGCCUACCAAGGCGACGACGGGUAGCCGGCCUGAGAGGGUGACCGGCCACACUGGGACUGAGAUACGGCCCAGACUCCUACGGGAGGCAGCAGUGGGGAAUAUUGCACAAUGGGCGCAAGCCUGAUGCAGCGACUCCGCGUGAGGGAUGACGGCCUUCGGGUUGUAAACCUCUUUCAGCACAGACGAAGCGCAAGUGACGGUAUGUGCAGAAGAAGGACCGGCCAACUACGUG
rnacentral:rRNA from 1 species